rnacentral:rRNA from 1 species
UACGGAGGGUGCAAGCAUUAAUCGGAUUUAUUGGGCGUAAAGGGCGCGUAGGCGGGGAUAAUAGUCAGAUGUGAAAUCCCGGGGCUCAACCUCGGAACUGCAUUUGAAACUGUAUCUCUAGAGGGUAGGCGGAGAAAACGGAAUUCCACAAGUAGCGGUGAAAUGCGUAGAUAUGUGGAAGAACACCGGUGGCGAAGGCGGUUUUCUAGCUUAUUCCUGACGCUGAGGCG